GAAUCGCUAAAAGCCGUCCCAGCUCGGAUUGCAGGCUGCAACCCGCCCUGCAUGAAGUUGGAAUCGCUAGUAAUCGCGGAUCAGCAUGCCGCGGUGAAUACGUUCCCGGGCCUUGUACACACCGCCCGUCACACCAUGAGAGUCGGGAACACCCGAAGUCCGUAGUCUAACCGCAAGGGGGGCGCGGCCGAAGGUGGGUCCGGUAAUUGGGGUGAAGUCGUAACAAGGUACC
rnacentral:rRNA from 1 species